rnacentral:rRNA from 1 species
GACGAACGCUGGCGGCGUGCUUAACACAUGCAAGUCGAACGGAAAGGCCCUGCUUUUGUGGGGUGCUCGAGUGGCGAACGGGUGAGUAACACGUGAGUAACCUGCCCUUGACUUUGGGAUAACUUCAGGAAACUGGGGCUAAUACCGGAUAGGAGCUCCUGCUGCAUGGUGGGGGUUGGAAAGUUUCGGCGGUUGGGGAUGGACUCGCGGCUUAUCAGCUUGUUGGUGGGGUAGUGGCUUACCAAGGCUUUGACGGGUAGCCGGCCUGAGAGGGCGACCGGCCACAUUGGGACUGAGAUACGGCCCAGACUCCUACGGGAGGCAGCAGUGGGGAAUAUUGCACAAUGGGCGGAAGCCUGAUGCAGCAACGCCGCGUGCGGGAUGACGGCCUUCGGGUUGUAAACCGCUUUCGCCUGUGACGAAGCGUGAGUGACGGUAAUGGGUAAAGAAGCACCGGCUAACUACGUGCCAGCAGCCGCGGUGAUACGUAGGGUGCGAGCGUUGUCCGGAUUUAUUGGGCGUAAAGGGCUCGUAGGUGGUUGAUCGCGUCGGAAGUGUAAUCUUGGGGCUUAACCCUGAGCGUGCUUUCGAUACGGGUUGACUUGAGGAAGGUAGGGGAGAAUGGAAUUCCUGGUGGAGCGGUGGAAUGCGCAGAUAUCAGGAGGAACACCAGUGGCGAAGGCGGUUCUCUGGGCCCUUCCUGACGCUGAGGAGCGAAAGCGUGGGGAGCGAACAGGCUUAGAUACCCUGGUAGUCCACGCUGUAAACGGUGGGUACUAGGUGUGGGGUCCAUUCCACGGGUUCCGUGCCGUAGCUAACGCUUUAAGUACCCCGCCUGGGGAGUACGGCCGCAAGGCUAAAACUCAAAGGAAUUGACGGGGCCCCGCACAAGCGGCGGAGCAUGCGGAUUAAUUCGAUGCAACGCGUAGAACCUUACCUGGGUUUGACAUGGAUCGGGAGCGCUCAGAGAUGGGUGUGCCUCUUUUGGGGUCGGUUCACAGGUGGUGCAUGGCUGUCGUCAGCUCGUGUCGUGAGAUGUUGGGUUAAGUCCCGCAACGAGCGCAACCCUUGUUCACUGUUGCCAGCACGUUAUGGUGGGGACUCAGUGGAGACCGCCGGGGUCAACUCGGAGGAAGGUGGGGAUGACGUCAAGUCAUCAUGCCCCUUAUGUCCAGGGCUUCACGCAUGCUACAAUGGCUGGUACAGAGAGUGGCGAGCCUGUGAGGGUGAGCGAAUCUCGGAAAGCCGGUCUCAGUUCGGAUUGGGGUCUGCAACUCGACCUCAUGAAGUCGGAGUCGCUAGUAAUCGCAGAUCAGCAACGCUGCGGUGAAUACGUUCCCGGG